rnacentral:sRNA from 1 species
AUACUGCGUGUAAAAGAAAAUCAGAAGAAUUUCAGCUCGGUUUUAUAUAAAGAGGAUGUCUCACCAGGAACGGCUAUCGGAAAGACACCUGAGAUGAUGAGAGUGAAACAAACACAGGACCACAUUAGCGCGGUGAAGUAUAAGGAAGCAAUAGGACAAGGAACUCCAAUCCCUGACCUGCCUGAAGUGAAACGUGUGAAGGAGACGCAGAAGCACAUUAGCUCGGUUCUUUAUUCUGAUAGCUUCCGGAAACAAAUACAAGGCAAAGCUGCUUACGUAUUGGAUACCCCCGAGAUGAGACGGGUGAGGGAGACCCAACGGCACAUCUCAACGGUGAAAUAUCAUGAAGACUUUGAGAAACACAAGGGUUGCUUCACACCAGUGGUGACAGAUCCUAUCACUGAACGAGUAAAGAAGAACAUGCAGGACUUCAGUGACAUUAACUACCGAGGUAUUCAGAGGAAAGUGGUAGAAAUGGAACAAAAACGGAAUGACCAAGAUCAGGAGACUAUUACA